rnacentral:rRNA from 1 species
UACGUAGGUCCCGAGCGUCGUCCGGAUUUAUUGGGCGUAAAGCGAGCGCAGGUGGUUUAUUAAGUCUGGUGUAAAAGGCAGUGGCUCAACCAUUGUAUGCAUUGGAAACUGGUAGACUUGAGUGCAGGAGAGGAGAGUGGAAUUCCAUGUGUAGUGGUGAAAUGCGUAGAUAUAUGGAGGAACACCGGUGGCGAAAGCGGCUCUCUGGCCUGUAACUGACACUGAGGCUCGAAAGCGUGGGGAGCAAACAGG